rnacentral:tRNA from 1 species
GUCAGAAUGGCCGAGUGGUCUAAGGCGCCAGACUCAAGUUCUGGUCCAGGUGUGUGGGCGUGGGUUCAAAUCCCACUUCAGACA